rnacentral:misc_RNA from 1 species
CGCUUUUCUCAGCACAAGAAGCUGUAGCCCAUAAAAUUUAGAAGGUAUUCGUUCUAAGAAUUCAGUAUUUUGACGCUAAAUGUAGAAUAGAAUCAAACCUUACUCAAAAACAUAAAUUAAGUAUACAUCAAUUGAUUAAAAAACUUCUAUGUAAAAAACAAGGAUUUAUUUUAAUUAGUUUUUGCUUGUCAUGAUCGCACCUGUUUUGACCUCAUUUGAACUCUGACCUAAUUAGCCGCCAUAUUGGAAAAGUUGAGGAGGGAACAGGUAAAACAGAUGUUAUGAAGAAGGAAUGACAUAAUGCAUUUUACAGAAACAUUACCUGCAUUUUUGCUCUGCUUUACACAAGUAUGGACCCAGUAUAUGUAUGAUUGUCCUAAAGGCUGGAUGACAUUUGAAGAGAACUGCUAUGAAUUUAUAUACACACAAGAAAAUUUAGAAAAUGCCAAACAAAAAUGCCAGGCUGAUGGUGCUAGCUUGUUGUCAAUAAACACACCAUCCGAGGAGAACUACAUUUCUAACUGGCUCUCCAACAAUGAUCUUGUCCUACAAGAGUGGUAUACUAGUGGUAGGCGGGACAUAGAAAACAGCCAGGUGCUGUAUUGGGAAGGCGACGGUACCAAGAUAACUAAUGUCAUCAACUGGCUUAGUGAUAAGGAAUAUGAAAAACCUGGAAGUAGGAUUGUAUAUAUGAACAAUGGCGAGUCCUGGGGAUGGACUAUGAAAGCGGACGUAGAGAAAGAGCGGCCAUUUAUAUGUGAGAUUAGCAGGGCACAGGUCUACAAGAUUGUCAAACAAGUCAGAGACAGUGCGUAUGGUACCGAGUACACUGAUCCAAGGACAACUCCACAAGGCCCAGUGUUCACUACAGAGCCAGUUGAUAUAAUAUAUGACAGUGGUUCUAAGGAAAAGGUGGCCAGUAUGGAAUGUGUAGCAUUUGGUAUUCCUCAACCAAAAUAUAAAUGGUACAGGGAAACAGGAGGUAACCUGUUGGAGAUUGAUCCGAUGGAAGAUAGACGUUAUACCCUAACCAAUGGCAAGCUGACCAUCAGUCCGCCAAAUAAGGACUUAGACGCAGGGACAUACCAGUGUGAAGCCUCUAAUGAGUUCGGAACAAUCGUUGGGAAUAAAAUACAACUCACAUUUGGAUACCUGCAAGAUUUCUCCAAGACACUGCGUGAUCCAGUUCGAGUAAAUGCCUAUGAAGCCACUGGAAUAGACUGCAACCCACCUGCCCAUUACCCCGAUGUCUUGUACUCCUGGUAUAAGGACGACAUCAGGAAUUUCGUAAGGCCAGAACUGAAACCAUAUGUGUUUAUUUCCCGGUCGGGUAAACUGCUCUUCCAGAGUGUUACAUCUGAUGACGAGGGCCAGUAUUAUUGUCUUGUUUACAACCCAAGUGCCGAGGAUGCCACAUCGCCAUCUAUGGGAAAACACAGCACACCUAUUCCCAUCAUUGUUCUUGAGACUGUUCCCAGUGAGCGUGAACCUCAGAUGGAGUCAGGGUUCCCGCGUGCUUUCCCCAAUGCACCCAAGCGUGGAGAUACUGUCAACAUUGAAUGCUUCGCUCGAGGAACAGGUAUUUUGGUGUACACGUGGCGUAGAAAAGAUGAUGAUAUGCCAGGGAAUGCUGUGAUAAGUGACCACGGUAGAGUCCUUACUAUACCAAAUAUCCAGUUCAAAGACAAGGGAGAAUAUGAAUGUACUGUUCAGAGAACAGAGGGUCUGUCUACAUCUAAGACAAUCAUCGUGCCAUUGGAUGCUGAACCAUAUUUUACUCUGCCCAUUGGUAACAAGUAUGUUGACCAAGAAGGUGACCUAGAUUGGAGAUGCGAGGCCUCUUCUGCACCUGACCCCGUUUAUAGUUGGUACAAAAAUGGCAAGCUCCUCACCCAGGACACACUACCCCCCUCAGAGAGAGAAAGAGUGACUGUGUCAUACAAUGUGCUAAGAAUUAAAGCUGUUGAUCCGGAACGUGACCAGGGGAUGUACCAGUGUGCUGCUACUAAUCUACAUGGAACACGAUUCAGCACUGGACAACUGCAAGUCUUAUCAUUCCCACCAACUUUUGACAAGUUUCCAUUGGAAAGAAAUCAGUUUGGAUCUCGUGGUGGCAAUGUCACGAUUCUCUGUAGCCCUGAAGCUGCCCCCUCCCCUGUGAUUACCUGGUUGAAAAAUAAUCGUCCACUAGGAGUAUCUGAGGAUGAGGGAUCUCGCAUAAGACAACUUAAGGCAGGACAUCUUUUCAUCAGCAACGUCCAAGACUCUGAUCGAGGAUUCUAUACAUGUGUUGCUACAAAUGUGUUUGGGGAAUCUAAGAGCACAGGAAAUCUGACUAUUCUAACUACAUCUGUGAUAUCUCACAAGCCCAAGGAUGACAAAGUGACAAUUGGGUCAACUGCGACGCUACAUUGUCUGGCAUCCGUCAACCCUCUGCUUGACCUCACGUAUGUCUGGCUGCAUCAGGGCAAGAAAGUAAACAUAGAUGGCGAUAUAUGGUUGAAGCUGUUGCCUGAUCCACACUAUGAAAGAGGAGAGGGUGUGAACAAGGGAGAUCUCAUUAUCCUAGAUGUGCAACAGUACCACGAGGGAAUAUAUACAUGUGUGGCAACAACAGUGGUUGGAAGCACCUCGGCUGAAUGUGAUCUAUUAGUAGUAGGUCCACCCGGAGAGCCAGCUGGUGUACGGGGGGAUGACAUCAAAGCCAGAUCUAUUACAGUACGGUGGCAGAAGGGCGCAGAAAAUGGUGCCCCAACUAAAGGAUUCAAAGUUGAGGCAUACAGUGAACAGCAUCCUUACUGGGAGGUUGUCAAGACUAACAUCCCAAUCAGCAGUAAAUCAACAGCUAAUGUAAUCUUAGGAUCUCAGGGAGCCAAUAUUAUUGAAUUUGAGUAUGAGGCUGUAAUUGACAGUCUGAACCCUUACACAAUAUACAAGUUCAGGGUACUGUCUGAGAAUGCCAAUGGAUGGGGACCCCCUAGUAAACCAUCACCUGAAUACACUACCCUUCAGGCACUACCUGACAAGUAUCCCAGACAAUUGGGAGGGGGUGGGGGUAAGGUAGGGGACCUAACUGUCACCUGGCAGCCGAUGAACACCUCUGAAUAUCAUGGACAGGGUUUUGGAUACAGGGUAUUUUGGAGGUUACCAGGUACAGACGAAAAGUGGGAGAAGAAUGAUGUAUUGGGAGGGGAGCAUUCUAAAUUUGUGGACACUGUAGGAUCCCUGAACUACUAUAGACAGUAUGAAGUGACUGUUGCUGCAUUCAAUGCAGUGGGAGAAGGACCUAGAGCUCCCACUCAAAUUAUAUGGUCUGCUGAGAACAUGCCUACUUAUGUACCAGUCAAUAUACAUGCACGCCAGUACAAUGCCACUGCCCUGUUGGUCUCCUGGAAUCCUGUUAUAGAUGAUCGAAAGAACAUGAAGGGACGACUCUAUGGAUUUAGGAUCAACUACUGGAAGGCAGUAGGGGAAGAUGAGAACAUUGCCAAACGUCAGACUAUCAAUGGGACUGUGACGGAGGGCUUCAUUAUUGGACUGCUCCCAGAUACAUACUACUGGGUGAACGUCAUGGUCUUCAAUACAGCUGGCAAUGGCCCCAAGAGUCAGGACUUCAAACAAGAUACUCUUAGAUCUGCCCCCAUAGAGGCCCCCCAGGAGGUACAGGUUCGUGCCAUUAACAGUGAUUCCAUUCAUGUAAAAUGGCGAGGUGUUCAAAUCACAGGAAAGGAAGAACCUUUAGAAGGAUACAUUGUGAGAAUGUGGUAUGCUGAUGAGAAUGUGUACAGUUGGACGGACUAUGAUUCUGGCAAAGACACUGAGUAUACAGUCUACAACAUGAAAGAGGAUACCAUGUAUGAACUCAGGGUGUUAGGAUACAGUCGUGGCGGAAACGGCACCAUGAGCUCUCCCACCAUACAACUUGUGCUGGGCAAAGAGUGCUAUAUCAGAGAAGAUAAACCAGAGGCAACAUAUAUGUACUUGUGCACUGGAUGUUCGAUUACUGCCCCUACCAUCACCAUAGCAGUAUUAUCAUUCUUUCAUAUUGCGUACCAAGUGUUCAGCAAACAACUGCAUCACUAUAUUGUAUAAGGAUAAACUUCUUAAGAAACAUUCCAAAUGUGAGACAUAGAUUCCAGAGUAGGCUACUAGAGUUCCAGAAUGCAAAUCGAUGCCAUACACUUAAUACGUUGUUAAUGCAGUUGUUAACUCACCAAGUUGGAGAUAAAACCUAGCAAGCAUAGUCCAUAAGUCUCUAGUAAUUAAUUACGACAAACAAGCAUAUAUGAACAUUAAUGCCAGUGGAAUGACCAAAAUACAACAAUAGGGAACAUUGUUUUAAUCAAAUUUUGGCUCUGGAUAUGCAAUAAUAUGCGAGACAAUGAUUUGACCGCUCAAAGCGGUGUUGCCUAAAUGACAAUGUAAUAUGAAAAAGGGAAUUUUAAGAGGUCAUCUUCACCAAUUACCAAGGUUUCCCAAUGUUUUAUAUCUCAAUGUUUUGAGUAACUGGUUUGCAUAAUGAAAUCAUGGGUCCAUGCGAAUCUCUAGUACAAGUGAUACUUGACAUAAAGCUAAGAUCUGAUUUCAAAUGUAAGUUCUGAUAUUAAUGUCAAUUUUAUGACAUGGUGGAAAAAGAUCUGAAAUGAAAUUUUAAAUAUUAUAUUUUCUAUAUUAUAUAUUUUAUUCUAAAGAAUGACUUGUAUUUCUAUUUUUAAAACAUUCCCAAUAUAGUGUUCUUGAAAUUGUCCAUCCUUAUUCUAUGUAUAAAAUGCAUCCAUUUUCAAAGUUAACAUAUAUUUUCUGACAUAAUGGACAAAAUGAUCUGAGCUUUACUUGUAAAUUUUAUACAUUCCUGAUGUGGUAUUGCAUGCUGACACUAUUGGCAAUGCAUUCCCACCCCUACUGGUAUUGCAUACCCAUGUUGUUUGUAUUGCAUACCAAAACUUCGUAUUGCAUACCCCACACUAUAUCAAAAUAUUGCAUGCAUUUCCAAGGUAUUCACAUUUCCAUUCUUUUCUUAUUGUGUUUGGAAUGUUUUAUUGUACUUAUAAUAUCAUACUGUCAACUUUUGUACAUAAUUCAUGAUGUAAUUUCAUCAUUACCAUUUGUAUAUUUUUUCGCUCGAUUAAUUCAAUAAUAAUUGCAUAACUUUUAUAAAUCAUUGCAUGAUAUAUGUGCAGAUAAAAUAUGUGUCGUCAAUAUAAAAAAAUUCUCUUGAUUUUAAGUGAUAAAUAAAAUGAAUGCAUGUGUGAAAGAAAUGCUUAAUGUAUAGACAUUACAGAAAACAUAUUUAGCUAAAUCAAAAAUAGAACAAAAACAGAAAUUUUAAUGCAUUUCAACAAUGUUUGUGAAAAUAACACUGUUUUAACACACCUCAUCCUGUUAGACAUGUACAGUUUUAAAAGAUUGUAUAGCUUAUAUAUAUAUUUUAUUCAUCAAUAUUAUUCUUAGUUCUAAUAGCUAGUGUUUUGAUACACCGUAUAUAUAAUGCUUAAUAGAUAAAAUUAGGCUGUAUACACAGGAAUAUAAUUAUGCAAUGCUAUUGUCACUGUGUCAGUAAACAUGAAUAUAAAAAUGUCAAGAUUAUGUACAUAUUACAUUGAGAUUUCAAUUUAGGCUUCAUUUGGUUUCAAUUAAUCAUUUUAUGUACAGUCAAUAGAAUCAUGAUACAGUAAAACCUGUCUAAUCCAAAGACCUUUAAGGGAUCGGCCAAAAGUGUUUGAAUGAAUAGGUGUUCACAUUUCAGGUUUCUUGAUAUGUAAGUCAAUAGGAGAUAACAAAAUUGGGACCAAGAAAAGUGUUCAGGCUGACAGAAGUUUGGAAUAUAGAAGUGUAAGGGUAUACAGGUUUUACUGUACUGUACUUUUUAUUUAAGUGUG